rnacentral:rRNA from 1 species
UACGGAGGGUGCAAGCGUUAAUCGGAAUUACUGGGCGUAAAGCGUGCGCAGGCGGUUUGUUAAGGCCGUUGUGAAAGCCCCGAGCUCAACUUGGGAAUUGCAGUGGAUACUGGCAGGCUGGAGUACGGUAGAGGAAGGUGGAAUUCCCGGUGUAGCAGUGAAAUGCGUAGAUAUCGGGAGGAACCCCAGUGGCGAAGGCGGCCUUCUGGACCAGUACUGACGCUCAUGCACGAAAGCGUGGGGAGCAAACAGG